GAGUCUCAGUGUGAAACUCAGUUAUAGCCCAAAUUUGACAUUACCAAUAACAUAUUCUGUCUAUAUUAAGUAGGUACUAAUAUAUUUGAUAGUAAGAAUCUACCAACUCAACUAUGCUUUUUCACUAUAGGGGCCACAAAUUCGUUAAAAGUUGGUCACUUAAAUCAAUCUGCUGGUUUAGAGCAUUAGCCUCAGUCAUUUGUUUAGUCCCAGGACAUUUAGGUACUAUUCAGUACAAACUAUUAAGCUUUCAUGGCCACGAAUAAAAUAUUGCCGAUAACCCUUGGUAGGAAAGAUUGAAAGUAAUACAAGAUGUUUUUCUCUAAGAUUGCUAAUGGGGAAUUUUCGCCGAUGCCUUUCAUAUGGUGUUUGAAUCUAUUUAUAGAGGCUCGGGUCUUCAUUUCAUUCUUCAUUUCAUCUUCAUUUGAAUUGCAUUUACUUUUGUUGAGACGUGGCCGACAGCUUUGAAUGAUUACUUUUCUUUCUGAAAUUGCCAGCACCUUUGAGUGACUUAAAAGUCAUUUGGGUCUUGUCCGCAUGGUCCCCCAAACGGAUCAAAAGUUGAUUCAGAUGAGCCUGCUGACUCCUUUAUUUUGUCGCUUUUGUCAUCCUUAUUCUGCUUUUGUAAAUAGUCCAAGUAUUCUUUAAGCAUUUCGGGAUUCUGCAUCAUCUUUUUCAUCAGAAAGUCAUUUGAAAAUGCCUCGGAUGCCAUACUGGUCACUUUCUCUUUAUCUUUUUUCUUUGGAGUGGUUGGAUUAGGUAGAAUAGUAGUUGGAUUUGGUGGCAUUGUCGUUGGAGUGGGCGACAAAGUUGUUGAAGUAGUGGUUGAAUCUUUUGUCCAUUUGAGCUUGUCUCCAGUUGUUAGAAAUCUUAUCACAUUUGCUUGAUCUCCAAAUUCCUAAUUGAAUCCUGUCCACCAUUUAAUUUUGAAUUCUCUGACUAAAGACAUUGGAAGUGGUAUUUCAAAUAUUCAUGACUUCCUGACUUCAUGAGUUUUAACUGAUAAAGCUGUUUUGAAAUCUAAAGGGCCAAUUCUAUAAAUGUGUUCAAUUUUUUCUUCUGGGAUUGUCCAAUCUGAAUUGUUUAUAGGCAUAUGAUAUUCAUGACUUUGUACUACAUUAUCUUGUUUUGAAUUAGAUCAUAUUUUUAAUUGUCUAAGAAAUGCAGCCAUGCUUAAUAUUUAAUUAAAUUUUACUUAGACGGGAACAACCGAGCACUAUGCCUGGAACAUCCUAUUCUGGACUUACCAACGGUCUAACAAGGCAUCAGGUCUUACCAACGUUUUCAGUAAAACUUUAAUAAAAUAUGCAACAUAAAUGCAUGAAGUAGCCAAGUCAAAAUAGAAACAUAAUUCAAAUAAAGUAAAUGUAAAUGCAAAGUUUAAAUAUGCGUAUGCACUUUAAACAGGGAUGUGGCUCUGAUACCACUUCUAACCCAGGGUAGAGUAUGAUUGCAUGUAAUUGAUUGAGACUUGCAAUAUUCAGAAAUUAAUAAUCUAAAAAUACAAGUAAAACAAUUACAGAAGGAGAUUAUAGAUUUAAAAACAAAAGAUUUAGAAAUAGAAGCAAAAUUAACAUUAUUAGAAAAUCAGCCUUCAACUUCUAAUUCUAAAACAGAAGAAAUAAGUAUAUCAGAAAACCCUACAAAUGAACUUCAAUAUAUAAAUAUUAUAGAAAGAAUGACAUUUCAAAAAUGGUUUGCUCUGGUAACUAUCACAGUAGAAGAUUUUAAAGAAACAUAUGUAGCUCUAAUAGAUAGUGGAGCUGAUACAAGUUGCAUUAAAGAAUGAAUAAUUCCAACUAAAUAUUGUGAAAAAACAAAAGAAAAAUUAAUGGCAGCAAAUGGAGAAAAUUUAGAAGUAACAUAUAAAUUUACAAAAGGAUCAAUAUGUAAUAAUGACUAUUGCAUUAGACAUAAUUUUAUAAUUGUAAAAAAUAUAAAUUGUGAUGUAAUAUUAGGAACACCCUUUUUAAUUCAAAUAUAUCCAUUUUUGGUAAGUCAUGAAGGAAUUUCAAUAAAUAUAAUGGGAAAAAUGAUUAUAUUCAGAUUUUUAACUCCAGUAAAACAAAGAGAAUUACAGAUAUUACAAACAAACUCUAUUUAUAAAACAAUAAAUAGUAUUACUAGAGUACAACAACAAAUAAAUUAUAUUAAAGAAGAAAAAUCUUAUUUAAAAAUUGAGGAACAACUAAAAGAAGAAAAGAUGCAAAAAAGAAUUUUAGAAAUAGAAAAAUUAUUACACAAAGAAAUAUGUGCUGAUAUUCCUAAUGCUUUUUGGGAUAAAAAACAACAUAUGGUUGAAUUACCCUAUGAAACAGGAUUCAAUGAAAAAAAUAUUCCAACAAAGGCUAGACCUAUACAAAUGAAUUUUGAAUUAUAAGAAUUUUGUAAAAAAGAAAUAAAAGCAUUAAUGGAUAAAAAAUUAAUAACUCAUUCUAAAUCACCAUGAAGUUGUGCUGCAUUUUAUGUCAUGAAUCAAGCAGAAAAAGAACGAGGAGUUCCAAGAUUAGUAAUAAAUUACAAACCAUUAAAUAAAGUAUUACAAUGGAUAAGAUAUCCAAUUCCUAAUAAAAAAGAUUUGCUUAAUAGAUUAUUUAAAGCAAAGAUAUUUUCAAAUUUUGAUUUAAAAUCAGGAUAUUGGCAAAUAUUAAUAAAUCCAAAAGAUAGGUACAAAACAGCAUUCACAACACCCUUUGGACAUUAUGAGUGGAAUGUAAUGCCAUUUGGAUUAAAAAAUGCACCAUCAGAAUUUCAAAAUAUAAUGAAUGACAUUUUCAAUCCUUAUAGUUCAUUUAGUAUAGUUUAUAUUGAUUAUGUAUUAAUAUUUUCUGAAUCAUUAGAACAGCAUUUUAAACAUUUAAAUAUAUUUUUAAAAAUAGUUAAGAAAAAUGGAUUAGUAAUUUCUGCACCAAAAAUGAAAUUAUUCCAAACAAAAAUAAGAUUCUUAGGGCAUGAUAUAUACCAAGGCACAAUAAAACCAAUUAAUAGAGCUUUAGAAUUCACUACUAAAUUUCCAGAUGAAAUAAAAGAUAAAAAUCAAUUGCAAAGAUUUUUAGGAUGUUUAAAUUAUAUAGCAGAUUUCUUUCCCAAAUUAAGACAAGAAUGCUCUAUAUUAUUUAAUAGACUCAAGAAAAAUCCAAAACCAUGGACAGAAGAACAUACUCAAAAAAUAAAAUAUUUAAAAGAAAGAAUUAAAUCUUUACCAUGUUUAUGCUUACCACAUCCUAAUGCAUUUAUGAUAGUUGAAACAGAUGCAUCAGAAUUAGGAUAUGGGGGAAUAUUAAAACAAAAAUUUGAAAAGUCAAAAGAAGAGUUAGUUAGAUUUAAUUCCGGAACAUGGUCAGAUCCUCAAAAGAAUUACUCAACAAUUAAAAAAGAGAUUUUAUCAAUAGUCUUAUGUAUAUCAAAAUUUCAAGAUGAUUUAUACAAUAAGAAAUUUUUAAUUAGAAUAGAUUGUAAAUCUGCAAAAGAGAUUUUACAAAAAGAUGUUCAAAAUAUAGUUUCAAAACAAAUAUUUGCUAGAUGGCAAGCAAUUCUUUCAGUAUUUGAUUUCGAAAUAGAAUUCAUCAAAGGAGAAAAUAAUUCUCUUCCUGACUUCUUGACAAGAGAAUUUUUACAGGGAAAUGGAAAGUGAAACUCACAAAGAAUACCUUCGAAGACUUCGAGCUGAAAGAGAUAACCCUAUUCUUCAAAAAAGAGCUACAAAUAUUUCUCAUAGACCUUUUACCUAUUUUGUCAAAAACCCCGACAAAACUAUCCAACCAAUUCCUUAUUCUCAAAUUCGAAACUAUGAUACAGUUCAUAUUAGACACAGCUUUUGGGCUGCAACCACACCAAAAGAACAAGCCUUUCUUCUAAAAAGGCAGAUCAAUUCAAAUAUUAUAUUUAAGAAUGUUCUUGAAAAAGCUAAUCAUCCUCCAGAAGAUAUUCAGCCAACCAUAAUUCAAAUUCAACAGCUUAAAGAACAGCUUAACAGAAUUAUUUGUUAAAAUUUUGCAGGAUCAUGGAUUCAAAAGCAGGCAAUUCCAGGCCAAAGACUCCUCAAGAUUAUGAGAUGAGUCUUACUCCUGUUUCUCAAAAUAGAUUUCAAAUUCUACAAGACUUUCCAGCUUUGACUUAUAGUCAAGCUGCUCGUACUCCAACUUUUCCUCCCAUAAGAUCUCUUCAACAAAUUCCAAGCCCCAUUGAAAAAUCCAAAGAAAAUAUUUACUUCACUAAACCAAUUACUCAACAUAUCACUUUGACUAGAUUUCAAGAAACACCACUAUAUACUACACUCAAUCAAACUGUUCAGCGAAUUUUCCCUCCAAAAUGUUACUGGCAACCAGAUGACACUUCAAAAAAUUUGGAUUACUAUGAAUUAAUUCUUACAGAUACUCAAUCUGUAGAAAUUUACCCUAUUCCAGAUAGAAAAAAUCCAAAUAUUAUUAGCCAUUCAAAAUGCAUCAUAAAGAAAGUUUGUUCACCUAAUGAAUGGACUUCUCUUUAUUCUAAAAAAUCCUUCUCGGUCAAUUUUAUUCCAGAUGGAUUCACAUAUCAAGACUACAAAAUGGCAUGGUAUCGUGCUUUCCUUUUUAGACCAUUCAAUCAUUCCUGGUUCUUCACUUUCAAAGAAAGUUGCAAUAGAGAAUUUUCAAUUUGGUUCAAUCACUGGUGGAAAUGGUUUGGACCACAAUCAGAAAUACUCCCUCCAAAUGUGCUUAUGGGAUUUCAAACCUAUCUAAAAAGAGCAAAGGGGGAAGAAUACACAAGACCAAUUUUAUUCCAUAUGGAGUUCAAAGUUUCGUGGAUAUUCUGCUGGAGUUUCAAAAUUCAUCAAGAAUUAGAAAAACCACUUCCAAUGUCUUUAGUCAGAGAAUUCAAAAUUAAAUGGUGGACAUGAUUCAAUCAGGAAUUUGGAGAUCAAGCAAAUGUGAUAAGAUUUCUAACAACUGGAGACAAGCUCAAAUGGACAAAAGAUUCAACCACUACUUCAACAACUUUGUCGCCCACUCCAACGACAAUGCCACCCAAUCCAACUACUAUUCUACCUAAUCCAACCACUCCAAAGAAAAAAGAUAAAGAGAAAGUGACCAGUAUGGCAUCCGAGGCAUUUUCAAAUGACUUUCUGAUGAAAAAGAUGAUGCAGAAUCCCGAAAUGCUUAAAGAAUACUUGGACUAUUUACAAAAGCAGGAUAAGGAUGACAAAAGCGACAAAAUAGAGGAGUCAGCAGGCUCAUCUGAAUCAACUUUUGAUCCGUUUGGGGGACCAUGUGGACAAGACCCAAAUGACUUUUAAGUCACUCAAAGGUGCUGGCAAUUUCAGAAAGAAAAGUAAUCAUUCAAAGCUGUCGGCCACGUCUCAACAAAAGUAAAUGCAAUUCAAAUGAAGAUGAAAUGAAGAAUGAAAUGAAGACCCGAGCCUCUAUAAAUAGAUUCAAACACCAUAUGAAAGGCAUCGGCGAAAAUUCCCCAUUAGCAAUCUUAGAGAAAAACAUCUUGUAUUACUUUCAAUCUUUCCUACCUACUCUCAACUACUCAUAUUAAGUUUUCAAAGUCAUUGUACAACUUUGUCAAAGUUUGAAUAAAGGAUUCAAGAGCAAGACUUCCGUGUGCAACUCAAAGCUUUCAUUGUAAGUCCUUAUAAUUUCUGAAUAUUGCAAGUCUCAAUCAAUUACAUGCAAUCAUACUCUACCCUGGGUUAGAAGUAUAUGAGGGUCUGUUAAAUCUAUUGAAAAAUUUGGAGUACAGUUAAAAUAUAUUGGUCCAUUACAUACAUUUGUUUGAAUCAUAGAAAGUAAAGAAGUUUUAUAUCUUUUUAGUCUAGUAUCUCUUAAGGCUAGAUAUAUGGGAGCAUCAACUCCUAGAUGGAAUAAAGGUUUUACAGCAAUUUGUAUUAAUCCUAUAUGAAUAUAGCGAUAUCCUUUACUUAAACAUUUUUGAAUUGUACCAUGAUUUAAUAAUGGAAUUGAUUGAUAUUCUUCUUGAAUAGAUAUAGUUUCUUCAUGAGUUUUAACUGAUAAAGCUGUUUUGAAAUCUAAAGGGCCAAUUCUAUAAAUGUGUUCAAUUUUUUCUUCUGGGAUUGUCCAAUCUGAAUUGUUUAUAGGCAUAUGAUAUUCAUGACUUUGUACUACAUUAUCUUGUUUUGAAUUAGAUCCUAUUUUUAAUUGUCUAAGAAAUGCAGCCAUGCUUAAUAUUUAAUUAAAUUUUACUUAGACGGGAACAACCGAGCACUAUGCCUGGAACAUCUUAUCCUGGACUUACCAACGGUCUAACAAGGCAUCAGGUCUUACCAACGUUUUCAGUAAAACUUUAAUAAAAUAUGCAACAUAAAUGCAUGAAGUAGCCAAGUCAAAAUAGAAACAUAAUUCAAAUAAAGUAAAUGUAAAUGCAAAGUUUAAAUAUGCGUAUGCACUUUAAACAGGGAUGUGGCUCUGAUACCACUUCUAACCCAGGGUAGAGUAUGAUUGCAUGUAAUUGGUUGAGACUUGCAAUAUUCAGAAAUUAUAAGGACUUACAAUGAAAGUUUUGAGUUGCACACGGAAGUCUUGCUCUUGAAUCCUUUAUUCAAACUUUGACAAAGUUGUACAAUGACUUUGAAAACUUAAUAUGAGUAGUUGAGAGUAGGUAGGAAAGAUUGAAAGUAAUACAAGAUGUUUUUCUCUAAGAUUGCUAAUGGGGAAUUUUCGCCGAUGCCUUUCAUAUGGUGUUUGAAUCUAUUUAUAGAGGCUCGGGUCUUCAUUUCAUUCUUCAUUUCAUCUUCAUUUGAAUUGCAUUUACUUUUGUUGAGACGUGGCCGACAGUUUUGAAUGAUUACUUUUCUUUCUGAAAUUGCCAGCACCUUUGAGUGACUUAAAAGUCAUUUGGGUCUUGUCCGCAUGGUCCCCC
rnacentral:lncRNA from 1 species